CCUACGGGUGGCUGCAGUAGGGAAUAUUGGGCAAUGGAUGCAAGUCUGACCCAGCCAUGCCGCGUGCCGGAAGAAGGUCCUCAGGAUUGUAAACGGCUUUUAUUCGGGAAGAAGAGCAGGGAUGCGUCCUUGUGUGACGGUACCGAAUGAAUAAGCACCGGCUAACUCCGUGCCAGCAGCCGCGGUAAUACGGAGGGUGCGAGCGUUGUCCGGAUUUAUUGGGUUUAAAGGGUGCGUAGGUGGCUUAAUAAGUCAGUGGUGAAAUACAGCCGCUCAACGGUUGAGGUGCCAUUGAUACUGUUAAGCUUGAAACAAUUGGAGGCUGCCGGAAUGGAUGGUGUAGCGGUGAAAUGCAUAGAUAUCAUCCAGAACACCGAUUGCGAAGGCAGGUGGCUACGAUUGGUUUGACACUGAGGCACGAAAGCAUGGGGAGCAAACAGGAUUAGAUACCCUGGUAGUC
rnacentral:rRNA from 1 species